rnacentral:rRNA from 1 species
AACGAACGCUGGCGGCAUGCCUAACACAUGCAAGUCGAACGAGAUCUUCGGGUCUAGUGGCGCACGGGUGCGUAACGCGUGGGAAUCUGCCCUUUGGUUCGGAAUAACAGUUGGAAACGACUGCUAAUACCGGAUGAUGACGCAAGUCCAAAGAUUUAUCGCCAGAGAAUGAGCCCGCGUAAGAUUAGCUAGUUGGUGUGGUAAAGGCGCACCAAGGCGACGAUCCUUAGCUGGUCUGAGAGGAUGAUCAGCCACACUGGGACUGAGACACGGCCCAGACUCCUACGGGAGGCAGCAGUGGGGAAUAUUGGACAAUGGGCGAAAGCCUGAUCCAGCAAUGCCGCGUGAGUGAUGAAGGCCUUAGGGUUGUAAAGCUCUUUUACCCGGGAUGAUAAUGACAGUACCGGGAGAAUAAGCUCCGGCUAACUCCGUGCCAGCCGCCGCCGUAA